GGGGCAACCCCUCGAGAGUGGCGAACGGGUGAGUAAUAUAUCGGAACGUGCCCAGUCGUGGGGGAUAACGUAGCGAAAGUUACGCUAAUACCGCAUACGAUCUACGGAUGAAAGCGGGGGAUCGCAAGACCUCGCGCGAUUGGAGCGGCCGAUAUCAGAUUAGGUAGUUGGUAGGGUAAAGGCCUACCAAGCCAACGAUCUGUAGCUGGUCUGAGAGGACGACCAGCCACACUGGAACUGAGACACGGUCCAGACUCCUACGGGAGGCAGCAGUGGGGAAUUUUGGACAAUGGGCGAAAGCCUGAUCCAGCCAUUCCGCGUGCAGGAUGAAGGCCCUCGGGUUGUAAACUGCUUUUGUACAGAACGAGAAGGUUUCUAUUAAUACUAGGAGCUCAUGACGGUACUGUAAGAAUAAGCACCGGCUAACUACGUGCCAGCAGCCGCGGUAAUACGUAGGGUGCAAGCGUUAAUCGGAAUUACUGGGCGUAAAGCGUGCGCAGGCGGUUAUAUAAGUCAGAUGUGAAAUCCCCGGGCUCAACCUGGGAACUGCAUUUGAGACUGUAUAGCUAGAGUACGGUAGAGGGGGAUGGAAUUCCGCGUGUAGCAGUGAAAUGCGUAGAUAUGCGGAGGAACACCGAUGGCGAAGGCAAUCCCCUGGACCUGUACUGACGCUCAUGCACGAAAGCGUGGGGAGCAAACAGGAUUAGAUACCCUGGUGGUCCACGCCCUAAACGAUGCUGACUAGUUGUUCGGGGAAUUUAUUCCUGAGUAACGUANCUAACGCGUGAAGUCANNCGCCUGNGGAGUACGGUCGCA
rnacentral:rRNA from 1 species